UCAAAAACAUGUCCUUUUGUUUAUAAAUAUAAGGUCUGACCUGCCCAAUGAUUUUAUUUAAUGGCCGCGGUAUAUUAACUGUGCUAAGGUAGCAUAAUCAUUUGUCUUUUAAUUGAAGGCUAGAAUGAAUGGUUGGACGAGAUACAAACUUUCUUUAAUUUAUUUUUUGAAUUUAAUUUUUUAGUUAAAAAGCUGAAAUGUGUUUGAGGGACGAGAAGACCCUAUAGAUCUUUAUAUAUUAAUAUUUUAUAUAUUUUAGUGAAUUAAUUGUGAUAAUAUAUUAAUAUAUUUGGUUGGGGCGACUGUGGAAUUUAAAUAACUUCCAUUUUUAUUUGUCAUUAAUUAGUGUUUGAUUGAUCCAUUAUUAUUGAUUAAAAGAUUAAGUUACCUUAGGGAUAACAGCGUAAUUUUUUCGGAGAGUUCUUAUCGAUGAAGGAGUUUGCGACCUCGAUGUUGGAUUAAAAUAAGUUGUAGGUGUAGGAGUUUACAUACUAGGUCUGUUCGACCUUUAAUAUUUUACAUGAUCUGAGUUA
rnacentral:rRNA from 1 species